rnacentral:rRNA from 13 species
AGAAGAGCCGCAGUGAAUAGGCCCAAGCGACUGUUUAUCAAAAACACAGGUCUCCGCAAAGUCGUAAGACGAUAUAUGGGGGCUGACACCUGCCCAGUGCCGGAAGGUUAAGGAAGCUUGUUAGUCUUUGACGAAGCUCGCGACCGAAGCCCCGGUGAACGGCGGCCGUAACUAUAACGGUCCUAAGGUAGCGAAAUUCCUUGUCGGGUAAGUUCCGACCCGCACGAAAGGUGUAACGAUCUGCGUACUGUCUCGGAGAGAGACUCGGCGAAAUAGACUUGUCUGUGAAGAUGCGGACUACCUGCACCUGGACAAAAAGACCCUAUGAAGCUUUACUGUAGCUUGAGAUUGGCUCCGGGCUUUAUUUGCGCAGGAUAGGUGGGAGGCGUUGAAAAUUUUCUUGCGGGGGAAUUGGAGCCGUUGGUGAGAUACCACUCUAAUAAGGCUAGGAUUCUAACCCUAUACCGUUAGCCGGUUAGGGAACAGUUUCAGGUGGUCAGUUUGACUGGGGCGGUCGCCUCCUAAAAGGUAACGGAGGCGUGCAAAGGUUUCCUCAGACUGGUCGGAAAUCAGUCGUAGAGUGUAAAGGCAUAAGGAAGCUUGAUUGUGAGACCUACAAGUCGAACAAAGACGAAAGUCGGCCUUAGUGAUCCGGCGGUACCAAGUGGAAGGGCCGUCGCUCAACGGAUAAAAGUUACUCUAAGGAUAACAGGCUGAUCUCCCCCAAGAGUCCAUAUCGACGGGGAGGUUUGGCACCUCGAUGUCGGCUCGUCGCAUCCUGGGGCGGUAGUACGU